AGCAUAUCAAUAAGCGGAGGAAAAGAAACUAACAAGGAUUCCCCUAGUAACUGCGAGUGAAGCGGGAAAAGCUCAAAUUUAAAAUCUGGCAGUCUCUGGCUGUCCGAGUUGUAAUCUAGAGAAGUGUUAUCCGCGCUGGACCGUGUACAAGUCUCCUGGAAUGGAGCGUCAUAGAGGGUGAGAAUCCCGUCUUUGACACGGACUGCCAGGGCUUUGUGAUGCGCUCUCAAAGAGUCGAGUUGUUUGGGAAUGCAGCUCAAAAUGGGUGGUAAAUUCCAUCUAAAGCUAAAUAUUGGCGAGAGACCGAUAGCGAACAAGUACCGUGAGGGAAAGAUGAAAAGAACUUUGGAAAGAGAGUUAAACAGUACGUGAAAUUGCUGAAAGGGAAACGCUUGAAGUCAGUCGCGUUGGCCAGGGAUCAACCUUGCUUUUGCUUGGUGCACUUUCUGGUUGACGGGUCAGCAUCAAUUUUGACCAUUGGAAAAAGGUCAAGGGAAUGUGGCAUCUUCGGAUGUGUUAUAGCCCUUAGCUGCAUACAAUGGUUGGGAUUGAGGAACUCAGCACGCCGCAAGGCCGGGUUUUAACCACGUACGUGCUUAGGAUGCUGGCAUAAUGGCUUUAAUCGACCCGUCUUGAAACACGGACCAAGGAGUCUAACAUGCCUGCGAGUGUUUGGGUGGAAAACCCGAGCGCGCAAUGAAAGUGAAAGUUGAGAUCCCUGUCGUGGGGAGCAUCGACGCCCGGACCAGACCUUUUGUGACGGUCCCGCGGUAGAGCAUGUAUGUUGGGACCCGAAAGAUGGUGAACUAUGCCUGAAUAGGGUGAAGCCAGAGGAAACUCUGGUGGAGGCUCGUAGCGAUUCUGACGUGCAAAUCGAUCGUCAAAUUUGGGUAUAGGGGCGAAAGACUAAUCGAACCAUCUAGUAGCUGGUUCCUGC
rnacentral:rRNA from 2 species